AAAAGUUGUAUCACCAUUUGGUAAUUCUUGUAAUUCUGCUACUUAAUCAAACAAAGACCAGUGUAAUUAUUGAGGAGUCUUCCUGAGGUGCCUACAGCUCAAGGCACAGCUGUUCUCAAAGUGCCUACACAUCUCACAGGUACAGCAAAAAACAUUCCUGAAACUGUGCUAGAAAUUUCACCUGGGUUCUCUUCUAAAUUUUUGGUAAGUGAGGUUUCCCCUUGCUAAUACAACAAUAAUUAAUAUAUCUUGUGGAUUUUUUCCUCUUAAAAUAAUGAAUUUUAAAAUACAGAUAUGCAAUAAUUAUGAUUCUCCAUGUGAUUAUGCUACUCUGUAUUUAUAAACUAAUUGUUGCAAAGACACAUGCCUACCUAACAAAAAAAAUUGGAAAAGUUACCAAAUAGUAUGCUGGCAACCAGUGAGUUAUACCUGUUCAAAGACCAUGGAGAAGGCUUUAUGUAAGAGAAUGUGCAGGUCAGUACAGUCCUGGGUAUGUUCAUAAUAUGGAUAAAGAACUAAUUGAGACAGAAAUAACAGAAUACUUGCUAGUUCUGAUCAGGAAAUUUGGUUCUCUUAAGGCAGGUAAGGAGAGUUCUUUACAGAUUUUUUUAAUUAAUGCCAAAAGCCAGAAAAUAAGUGAGAAAAAUCAUUUAUAUGCUUUUCUACUUGAAAGACUAAUAGAAAUAAACCAUCACUGUCUUUUCCUCAUUCACUGAGAGUCAUUGUUUUCCCUCACUACUUUCUCAUGGCUCUGGUAUCUGAAGUGUUCAUUAUAAUGGAUUAUUUGUCUUGCAAAAGCCCACGUUUGGGGGUUAAGCCACACCUAAUAGGCCUCAUUCUCUCUCCUCCCUUACGUGUCCCAGUUUUGCCCCAAAGUGGUGCAUGAAGAAGUAAUAGGGUAAUAAUAUGGGACACUAGAGGCAGUAUGAGAGUUCAGAGGGAAAAAGAGCAUUAAACCAGGCUGUGCAGCUUGUUUACAGUAGAGUUGACAGAAACUGCUUGUAAAAGAAAUGAGGUUAAAAUUAAUGACCAGGUGCAUCUGCAUAUGUAAUUUAUCAGAGCAAGCAAGUAAUAAAAAAGAAUUACUCUAAUUAAAGUCAGUCAUACAAGAGGGGAAGGAUACUUUAAAAAAACCCCAACAUUAUCCAAUCAGGCAUUCAGCUCACUGUGUAUGUAUAUUUCCUUGUCUUUAGGUUUAAACCCCAGUACCCUUUAGCUGCACUGAGAGAGAUGGGUUUACUCACCUGUUCCAGCUCAGGUGUUCAGUCACAUCACACUGCAUACUUGUUUCCCAUGAGUGAAAAGGCUCUUUUCUGAAGUCAAGGAACACCAAGCAGAAGACAAACAGGGGAAGGGAAAAGGGUUCAAGACAUGCACUGAGACAGAGCAUAAGCAGGAAUGCAGCUGUGUCAAUAAUACCUACAAGCCAGAAUUUUGCAUCAUCCUGAAGGAAUUAACUGCCAAAAAAACUGCACAGAAAAGCCCCUCCUUCAAAAUUCAAUAACAAGAAAGUAGACUUACAUUAUUAACAAAGAACAGUUUUAAUAGAAAUGUUUAGGUUUACAUUUCAAAAUGACUUACAAAUAAACUUAAUCACAAUGCAUAUAUUCUUUUCUUUUAAAAAAACAACCAUAUUUAUUCUAACAUAAUAUAUAUUUUCUGAGUUAUAAAAUCCCAUAUAAAUAGCAAAUUCUUUUCAGUACACAGAUUACAAGAAUGCAUAGAAACUGGGAUGCAUAUCUGAAAAGAAUCCCGAGUAUGCAUUCCACAACUGGCAGAAAAUAGAAUAGUGCUAGAGUUGGAAAUAAGAAAUGCUGUUGUCCUUGUAUAUGAUUUAAAAAACAAAAAAAGCAAUCAAACAAAAACUGAGAACUUUUUGGUUGCUCAACCUUGUUCAGCUCCCUAGACUCAGGAAUGGCUCUGGAUGCUCCACUCCUUGAGAUUUUGGGAGCAUCCUAUGGAUUCUUCUGGUAUCAAAAAAAGAGAAUGGUGUCUGUCUUCUGGUGGACAGAAAUGAGGCACUUCCUUAGAGCAGGUCAGUGUGGACUGUAAGCAGAAGCUUGGACUUCCAGCCAGAAAGCAGCAAAAAGUGAUUCUUGAAUGAUGAUGUGUGGAAACAAAUUUGGAAGAGGCAGCCAAUUCUUACACUCCUCAAGGUUCCCCUGAUUAUCCCCCAAAACACCAUAAAGUCAAACAAGAAUGAGUAAGUGGAAAUGUUGCAUGUUAGAAAAAUCAAAGCAAAAGUUUUCCCUUUUUUUUUAGACUGAGGUGAGCAAACAAGCAAGCUGGACUAAGAACAAGUCAUAGCAGCAUUUAGAUCAGAGCAUUCACCCUGUGCUUUCUCUUCUCUCUUCCAAGAGAGUUGCACAAGAGAGCUACGUGUCUGGCAGCGUUCCCAGCGGUGUGACUGCAUCUCUGAGGAGCAGGCAGACUGCAGUGCUGCAGGAGGACACCAAUGUGCAGAAGCCUCACGGUGUGUUUAAUUUGGAGCUAGUUUAUUAUUGUAGCACAAUGGGGCGUAUUCUAGUCAUAGUGAAAAAAAAAGUCAAUUAUUCAUGGAAGAAACACAGACAAUUCUGCCUGUUGUUUUCAAAAAAGAAUGUAGUAAUUAUAUAUUCCUUUAAACACUGCUGUUAGAUAAAAUAUGAUGUUUUUUCAUAGGGUCAUGAACUCUGACAUUACUAAACCAUGAAUCAUAGGAGCAAACUCAUACAUGCAAACUGCAGUAAACACACAGAGAUUUUGCUUCUUAUUGGAGUGUCAACUCAGUAGAGAGCCAUUUAUAGUCUCCUGGCUUAUUCCCAUUUUAACUGGGAUCAAAAACUGGAUGAACAACGUUAUACUGAAGUUGAGCCAUAGCUGCAGAGAGCAGAACUUCACAGGCAAAGGCAAGUCAGAGGAAGGUGAGGUAUGUUUGACCCAUACAACAUUGCCAGCACUAAGACCUGACAGUAGUCUAUGGAUCCUUCUGGUGCCAGAAAGGAAGAAACAGCCCGCAGAGUAAGUUCCUGAUGGUAAGAAGAAAACAUUCACAGCCUGCAACUGUGAUUUGCUAGCAGAAUUACAGUGUACUGCUGAAUUCACAACAGCUUCAGUGUUUGGUUUGUUAAUUUUUUGGAUAGCAAACACAGUUUAAAUAACACUGGCAGGGAAACUCCAGAGUUUUUUCCAAAACACUGUGGAAAGUAAUGGGAACCCACAUGUCAUGCCACAAAGGACUUUUUCAAGUAAUGUGUACUUUGAAUGUAUUCAUCACAGCUGUACCACAAACUUGAGUUGAUAUGGCCUUUAUUACUUUUGGAAACAGUGCAGGACAAUGUACAGGAAGGAAGGAAGUGUGAAGGAAGUUUCAGCAGCCAAGGAGUGUCCCUUCCUCAGCUGCAUUCCUGCCACUGAAACUCCGCAAGUCCUGUCUACCUACAGCAGCUCGAAACAGCUAUCCCUGAUGAGAGGAGCAGCACACAAGUGCACACCCCAAGUCCAGGUGUGUAGCACUUUCCCAGCUCUGUUGUGAUCUGCCUGUGACCCAAAUCUAAAAGAACCAUUCCUGAAUCACACUUGAGAUGGAGAAAGAACACAGGCAGACACACGUAAGAAAAGACCACAUGACAAAAUGAUGGUGAGAGCUGAGAUGCAUCACUGAAGCACAGCACAGGGAUGCAGUGAAGGUGGGGUACACGAGCAAACCAAUGACAAGCAGGGAAGAGCUGCUGCUUUAUGUGGGCACAGGUAUUCAGCCUGCUGGUAUUCAGUUUACACCCUAGAGUCUGACACUGAUGGAAAAUGACAGUCGUGGAGUAGAAUGAAUGAACAAAUCCUGGAUAGUGCUAAUCUGUUUCUGGAGCACUAUAACAAGCAGUACGGAGAAAACCUAAACUUAGCAGUGAUUUCAAAGUACUCACCACUUGAAGGUUUU